GGUUUGGUUAGAGGUGUUUGACAUCUCUUGAUAAUCUCUGCAGAAAAGUAUUUGAAUGAAACCGUGGUUUCUCGUAUGCCAAAUAUGCAGAGUUAGAGAUUAGUCUCUAGCCAAGUCUAGGUCCAUAACCAUAAAGUCUGACUCUCGGGUCAGGCUUGAACCAUGGUCUCAAAUCAGGUAGGAAGACCCGCUGAACUUAA
rnacentral:misc_RNA from 1 species